rnacentral:rRNA from 1 species
UACGGAGGGAGCUAGCGUUGUUCGGAAUUACUGGGCGUAAAGCGCACGUAGGCGGCUUUGUAAGUUAGAGGUGAAAGCCCGGGGCUCAACCCCGGAAUUGCCUUUAAGACUGCAUCGCUAGAAUUGUGGAGAGGUAAGUGGAAUUCCGAGUGUAGAGGUGAAAUUCGUAGAUAUUCGGAAGAACACCAGUGGCGAAGGCGGCUCACUGGACUGGUAUUGACGCUGAGGUGCGAAAGCGUGGGGAGCAAACAGG